rnacentral:rRNA from 1 species
CCCCUUCGGGGGGUACACGAGUGGCGCACGGGUGAGUAACACGUGGGUAAUCUACCUUCGGGUCUGGGACAACUCCGGGAAACUGGAGCUAAUACCGGAUGAGACCACGAGGUCCUCGGACUUCGCGGAAAAAGAUGGCCUCUCCUUGGAAGCUAUCGCCUGUAGAUGAGCCCGCGCCCCAUUAGCUAGUUGGUGAGGUAACGGCUCACCAAGGCAACGAUGGGUAGCUGGUCUGAGAGGACGACCAGCCACACUGGAACUGAGACACGGUCCAGACUCCUACGGGAGGCAGCAGUCGGGAAUUUUGGGCAAUGGGCGAAAGCCUGACCCAGCAACGCCGCGUGAGGGAUGAAGGCCUUCGGGUCGUAAACCUCUGUCGGGAGGGAAGAACGAUCGCAAGGUGAAUAAUCUUGGGGUCUGACGGUACCUCCAAAGGAAGCGCCGGCUAACUCCGUGCCAGCAGCCGCGGUAAUACGGAGGGCGCAAGCGUUGUUCGGAAUCAUUGGGCGUAAAGCGCGUGUAGGCGGCUUGGCAAGUCGGGUGUGAAAUCCCGGGGCUCAACCCCGGAACUGCAUUCGAUACUGCCUCGCUAGAGUCCCGGAGAGGAGGGCGGAAUUCCCGGUGUAGAGGUGAAAUUCGUAGAUAUCGGGAGGAACACCAGUGGCGAAGGCGGCCCUCUGGACGGUGACUGACGCUGAGAUGCGAAAGCGUGGGGAGCAAAC